AGUGAACGCUGGCGGUAGGCCUAACACAUGCAAGUCGAACGGCAGCACAGUAAGAGCUUGCUCUUACGGGUGGCGGGUGGCGGACGGGUGAGGAAUACAUCGGAAUCUACUUUUUCGUGGGGGAUAACGUAGGGAAACUUACGCUAAUACCGCAUACGACCUACGGGUGAAAGCAGGUGAUCUUCGGACUUUGCGCGCUUGAAUGAGCCGAUGUCGGAUUAGCUAGUUGGCGGGGUAAAGGCCCACCAAGGCGACGAUCCAGAGCUGGCCUGAGAGGAUGAGCGGCCAGAAUGGGACUGAGAGAGGGAACAGAAGCCAACGGGAGGAAGCAGUAGGGACUCUUGGGAAAUGGACGGAAGUGUGAAAGAGAAAUGCCGAGUGAGUGAAGAAGGGUUUCGGAUCGUACAGCUCUGUUGUAAGAGAAGAAAGAGUGUGAGAGUGGAAAGUUCACACGGUGACGGUAUCUUAUCAGAAAGGGACGGCUAACUACGUG
rnacentral:rRNA from 1 species